rnacentral:tRNA from 1 species
GUGUUGGUGGUUCGUUGGUAGAAGUCCCGCCUGCCACGCGGGAGGCCCGGGUUCGAUUCCCGGCCAAUGCA